rnacentral:misc_RNA from 1 species
GCAGAAUUGAGCACGUGUACAGUGCAAAGAGUUGCACCGACCACAAACACUAUCUUCUCGCCCUCUUGGUUCCCGCUCCUUCCUCUCUCUGCUCUCGCCUCCUCUUUCCGUCUCUCUCUCCGGCGGCGACACUGACCAGGCAAGGCAAUAAAAUGAAUGAUAAAACCAACUUCUCUUAAAACUCAAUUUCGUCGACCGAAUUCUCCUCAAUGGCUGCCGCUGCCACGACCACAACUCUCUCUCUCGUCCCUUCUCUGGGAUUCUCUUCGCGUUUCUCCUCUUCUUCUACUUCUUCUACCUCAUCAUUGUUCUUUACGGGUAGCACCCACCUUUGGUCCCAUAAGAAUUUCGCCUCUGUUUCUUUAACUUCUCCUCCCCAUACUUCUCUAAAGUUCAGGACCCAGGCCUCCACCAAUCGUUUUCGACCUGUGAUUAAUGCUUCCGGGGAUUACUAUGUUACUCUUGGGGUUCCUAAAUCUGCUACUGGUAAAGAAAUCAAGGCCGCUUAUCGAAGGUUAGCUCGCCAGUACCACCCAGAUGUUAACAAGGAACCUGGAGCAACUGAAAAGUUCAAGGAGAUAAGUGCUGCCUAUGAGGUGCUAUCAGAUGAUAAAAAGAGGGCUCUGUACGAUCAGUAUGGUGAAGCUGGAGUUAAGAGUACAGUAGGAGGAGCAUCAAGUGCUUAUACGACAAAUCCUUUUGAUCUAUUUGAGACAUUCUUUGGGUCAACCAUAGGUGGUUUUCCUGGCAUGGAAACUGGGUUCAGCACACGCCGCCGUAGUACUGUUACUAAGGGUGAAGACAUACGUUAUGACAUCACUUUAGAAUUUUCUGAGUCUAUAUUUGGAUCUGAAAAGGAAUUUGAGCUUUCUCAUUUGGAAACUUGUGAAAUUUGUACUGGUACUGGAGCAAAGAUGGGCUCCAAGAUGAGAAUAUGCUCCACAUGUGGUGGCAGGGGUCAAGUUAUGAGAACUGAGCAAACACCCUUUGGCUUGUUCUCACAGGUUUCUAUGUGUCCCAAUUGUGGUGGAGAAGGUGAGGUCAUUUCUGAAUACUGUCGAAAAUGCUCUGGUGAAGGGCGUAUUCGUGUUAGGAAAAAUAUCAAAGUCAAAAUCCCUCCUGGAGUUAGCACAGGCAGUAUUCUUAGAGUUGCAGGAGAAGGUGAUGCUGGACCAAGAGGCGGUCCUCCAGGAGAUCUUUUUGUGUAUCUGGAUGUUGAGGAGAUAACUGGAAUCCAAAGAGAUGGCAUAAAUCUCAACUCAACAAUAUCUAUCACUUAUCUUGAUGCAAUUCUGGGGGUGGUAGUUAAGGUAAAGACAGUUGAAGGAGUAAGUGAACUUCAGAUUCCAGCAGGUACUCAGCCUGGAGAUGUUCUAGUCCUGGCAAAGAAAGGUGCACCUAAACUGAAUAAACCAUCUAUACGCGGUGAUCACUUGUUUACAAUUAAGGUUAUUAUACCAAAUCGUGUAAGUUUCAAAGAGCGUGAGUUACUCGAAGAACUUGCUUCUCUGAGUAAUACUACCAGCACUCGACCACGAACUCGCUUAAGAACUCAACCUGCAAGUAGAAGUGCAGAAAGUCAGGUGGAAACUGUUGCUGAGAAAGGUGAGGAGUCAGGAGGCCAAAAUGAUGUAUGGCAGAAGUUAAAAGAUUUUGCUGGGUCUGUUGCAAAUGGAGCUCUGAAAUGGCUGAAAGACAACCUCUGAGUUUGAAAUCUUCACUAGGUGACCAUGUGGCAUCCAAACUCUGCGAUAAUUUGAAACUAGCCACUGGAUUUUGUACUCCCCUCAAGACAUGGUCCCAAGGGCCAAGCCAUUGUUUACAUGGAUUCCUUUGAUUGAUAUUCUCAGCAUUGUGAUGAAAAUUCAAUAGCACUAUAGUGGAGAUUCUUUGAAAUUUUGUUUUCCCCUCUUGUAAAUCUAUGUCUAUGGCAAGCUACUACAGAUUAAUCUCUUUGAGCAGUUUAGAGCAGCAACAGCGAGUAAAUGUAAGCAAUAUUUUAGCAAUGUAUAAAGCUGAUGCUAUAAUGAAAUCUCACAAUCAAUUGACUUCCUCUUGGCAUUGGCAAUUACUGGCUCCAAUCUCUUUCUGGAGGAACGUAUUUACAAAACUUUCCCCUUAUGAAUGAAGAAUAUCAAACUUAAAAUAAUCUACAAAUGUCCAAAAUGUGUAGCACUACAGACUACGUUCUGUUUACCAAAACACAAGACAAGCUUUCACCUUUUACGACUUUGCCUGAGCAAAACCAGAAUGGCUAGAAUUACAGGAGUUGAUACCAUAAUCAAAGCUAGGAGGAUGUUGGGUCUUGUUAUCUCAGGAAAAAGGAUGCUUCCAUAUUUGAUCAGAGCUGCACCAGCAAGAGAACCAGCUCCUAGUUUCCACAAAUAGUUCAAGUCCUCCUGAGAGAUGGUGUUGCUGUUAUUCAUGCUCGAACUUUCUUCUUCUCUUGGAGAGUUGGAGGCGUGGAUAGGAUGAUAAGGUCCUUUUUUCGUUGCAUUUGAUGAGAGAUUGGGGGCAUUGAGGAAGAAGAACUUUGAGGAACCCAUGAGAUUAUUUUUUGUGGGUUUUAACAAAAGCUUGUGAUUCGAGGAGUAUGAGUCGCAGAGCUUAGGAGCUACCCUUGCCAUGGUUGCCACUGCCAUUAUCUGCUUACCUCAAGUCUUCAAUUUUUCUUCAAAAUCUCCUCCUCUUAUUAUGGAAAAUUGGAAAUACUUUACUGGCUGUAAAUCCAACUUCUUUUUCCUUUUUUUCUAAUAACUUCAAAAAUGUUUUUUUCAAUACGACAUGCCGUUUACAUACAUCAUCAUUCACAGUUACAGGGCUAUCAAUUUCAUGAAUGAGAAGCAAUACGCCUGGUUGCUUUUUUAAUCGAUUCCAGGAUUUCUACCUCCCUCUUCUAGUCUUAUAUAUCAAUUUCAUAAAAACCUAAUCCCCAAUUUCUCUCUCAGAAACCCUAAUUGUUAGAAUUUUGUAAUAAUCAUCGAAAAUGGUGUUGGCACAGCUGGGAGGGAGCAUAUCCCGGGCAAUCCAGCAGAUGAGCAAUGCCACAAUCAUCGAUGAGAAGGUUUUGAACGAGUGCCUCAACGAGAUCACCCGCGCUCUACUUCAAUCCGAUGUCCAAUUCAAGCUUGUUCGCGACAUGCAGACUAAUAUUAAGAAAAUUGUCAAUCUCGAUGAUCUCGCUGCUGGUCACAACAAACGCAAGAUCAUCCAGCAGGCAAUAUUUAACGAGCUAUGUAAAAUGUUGGAUCCGGGGAAGCCAUCUUUUACUCCGAAGAAAGGGAAAACAAGUGUUGUUAUGUUUGUUGGUUUACAAGGGUCUGGGAAAACCACUACAUGUACUAAAUAUGCAUAUUAUCAUCAGAAAAAAGGUUGGAAACCUGCUCUAGUCUGUGCUGAUACAUUCAGAGCUGGUGCUUUUGAUCAGCUAAAGCAGAAUGCCACCAAAGCUAAGAUACCAUUUUAUGGAAGUUAUAUGGAAUCGGAUCCUGUCAAGAUUGCAGUGGAAGGAGUCGAAAGAUUCAAGAAGGAAAAUUGUGAUCUUAUAAUUGUUGAUACCAGUGGGCGCCAUAAACAAGAAGCUGCUCUUUUUGAAGAAAUGCGCCAAGUUUCUGAAGCAACGAAACCCGAUCUUGUUAUAUUUGUUAUGGAUAGCAGUAUUGGUCAAGCCGCAUUUGAUCAAGCUCAAGCAUUUAAGCAAAGUGUUGCAGUUGGAGCUGUGAUUGUUACCAAAAUGGAUGGUCAUGCAAAGGGUGGUGGUGCUCUUAGUGCUGUUGCAGCAACAAAGAGUCCUGUUAUAUUUAUUGGAACAGGAGAGCAUAUGGAUGAGUUUGAAGUUUUUGAUGUUAAACCUUUUGUUAGUCGCCUUUUAGGUAUUCCCAUUCUUCAGUUUUGACACUUUUGCUUUGAUUGUGUUCGAACCUCUAGAAAUUGUCCUCACUUGAUUGCAUAUUGCUGUGAGUAAUGACGUAAUAAUAAUCUUCCAUCUAGGAAUGGGUGACUGGUCCGGAUUCAUGGACAAAAUUCAUGAGGUUGUUCCUAUGGAUCAACAACCUGAGCUUCUGCAAAAACUAUCAGAAGGAAACUUUACCUUGAGGAUUAUGUAUGAGCAGUUCCAGAACAUACUUAAAAUGGGUCCCAUUGGCCAGGUAUUUUCUAUGCUACCAGGAUUUAGUGCUGAAUUAAUGCCAAAAGGUCGUGAAAAGGAAAGCCAGGCAAAGAUUAAGCGUUAUAUGACUAUGAUGGAUUCAAUGACAAAUGAAGAGUUGGAUAGUUCUAAUCCUAAGCUUAUGAAUGAGUCACGUAUUAUGAGGAUAGCACGGGGUUCUGGCCGCCAGGUUAGAGAAGUGAUGGAAAUGUUAGAGGAGUACAAGCGUCUGGCCAAAAUCUGGAGCAAAAUGAAGGGACUUAAGAUUCCUAAGAAGGGUGAAAUGAGUGCUUUGUCCAGAAAUAUGAAUGCACAACACAUGAGCAAAGUCCUCCCUCCACAGAUGCUGAAGCAAAUUGGUGGCAUGGGUGGCCUGCAAAAUUUGAUGAAGCAAAUGGGUUCUGCCAAGGACAUGAUGGGGAUGUUUGGAGGAGGGGACAAGUAGAGUGUGAUCGGAACUGCAUUGUUGAGCUGAAUUGGGUUCCAAUCAAGCAUAAGCUUGAGAGGACCAAACAUGGAACAGGCAUAUAAGCAAAACAAUGCUCCUGACUGUUUAGCUUCUUAAAGGUUGAUGCAAUUUGGCUUUUUUCCCUGGUAUACCAGCAUAAAUAGAGAGUUUUUUAAUCAGUGUUCCAGCAGAUGUAUAUUGUUUAGAAUUUUGCAUUGUGGGGACGUCGAGAAUUGUUGCAUUUGCAAUUCCCUAAUCUGUUCAAUGAUAGUUGCUCAGGGAUUUCCACAACCGUCCGGUUCAUUUUGUCCAAGAGAGAAAUUGUAGGUUUUGAAUAUCAAAGAGUUGAAUGUCCAAAGCUUUUAUGUGGUUUAAACCCUAGCGGACUUCAGAGUUUAGAUUGAGCAAUUAAAAUCAUGUACUGCCGGAAUCCUCGAAUCAAGUUACGUGAUUGGAAAAUCUUUCAUAUGUUAAGGCUGUUUGUGAAAAAG